rnacentral:sRNA from 1 species
AUCUGUAACACAGCAGCAUUCCCAGGAAGGACAUACCCAUAGAGAGAACGUUCCAAGUAGAAUUUUUAAGUAUUUUGCUAUAUGAGAUCCACACUCUUUACAGAUAUAAACUCAAGCAAAGAAUAUCUGUGUGCAGAGGAGUGGCAAGCAUGGGGACUGUGGGAUUAAAAGAAAAUGGACCAAUUGAAAAAUGGUUCAUGAAAAAUUAUUUGGCUAUUCCAGCUGGGAAAUUCCAGAGAAUGGUCCUGAUCAAAGUCCAUCUCUUGGUCAGUAUUUAACAUUUAAUAAAGCUCUCUUUAAGUUUGCCCUCCAACAAUUGUUUACUUAUUCAUACUUAUUUUUGUGUUUUUAUAAUAGCUUUGUGUGUAUGUGUGUGUAUUUGGCACACACAUGUCAUAGCAUGUGUAUGACGUUCAGAACACAACUUUGUGAAGUCAGUUUUCUUGUUCUACCUUUAUGUGGGUUUUGAGAAUUGAACAGAGGUUGGCAAGCUUGCCUAAUAAGCACUGAGCUAACUUGCAGGUCCCAAUUCACCCACAUUUUAAAAUAUUGGUGCAAUUAGCUACAUUUCCCAAUUUAUUAUCUCUGCUAUCUGUCUUGGGUUCUGUUGCUGUGAUAAAACACUGGCAGGAAGCAAUUUGGGGGAGAAAAGGUUUAUACCAUUUUACAUGUUAUAGUUCCUUAUCGAGGGAAGUCAACGCAGGAACUCAGAGACAGGAACUGAAGCAGAGACCACUGAGAAACCCUGCUGGCUGGCUUGCUUCCAGGCUCACACUCAGCUAAGGUCUCUGUGCCUCCCAGCACCACUUGCCCUGGGGUGAUACUGUCCACAGUGAGCUGGGCCCCCCUGCAUCAACCAAGGAAAUGCCACACAGACAUGCCUACCGGCCAGUCUGACAGAAAUACUUCCUCAGCAGACUCAAGUUUACGUCAAGUUGACGAUCUAACCAGCACAUGGUCCUUGCCACUUUUUCACUGAAACAAUGGAUUUUAUUCUACUCAUCUUGUUAGAGGCCCAGGGUUACCCCUAAAGAAUCAUUUUCAACUUAACGAGAAAGGACAUUCCAUUUUAUACCUUUAACGUCCUUGUUAAUAAAAUAGCAAGCAUGUUACUCUAGAGACCUGCUAAAGAGUGGAUUUUUCUGUUUAUGUAAAUGGGUGUGAUGGGACUUGUGUAACCAAAUGUGUCUGUGUCUGUGUAGAGACAACUUCUGUUGGUUUCUCCUAGCAUCUGCACAUUUGUUUCUCUGCUUGUCUUGGUCAACAGGAUGAUGGACUCAACUCUGUGACUCAAAAGCUGCUUCUGAUACUGAAAGCAUCAAGGGAACUUCAACAUGGCUGUGGCCAUGGUUCAUAUCAAUCAGUUUUUUGGAGUGGUUCUUGGCAGGAGAGCUUGGUAGGUAGGUUUCUUGCCUCUGGUAAGGAGCUACCCAGAUCGUGUAAGUGUGUGUGCUUUUCUCUGAGUCAAGUGUUAGUAAGAAGAAAAGGGUGAGAACAUGUGUGAUUUUCAGAGAGAGAACUCGGGGUGGUCAAGAUAUGCUUCCCUGCCCCCCCCCCAUUCACAGGCAGCAAAAAGGAAAAGUAGCUCUCUCUCUCUCUCUCUCUCUCUCUCUCUCUCUCUCUCUCUCUCUCCCUUAUUUUUAAAGAACAAGACAGUAAGUUACAGUGGAAUUGGCUACAGAUUCAGAGUUCAGAAAACUUGCAGGAGGUGGGAGGGACUUGUCAUAGUUCUGCCACAACCAAGUGGUGAUUCUGGACAAAAACGAAUUAACUUCUCUGUCAGUUUCUUCACGUGCAAAUGGAUAAGAAUGGCUCCCAUAGACUCAUAUAUUUUAAUGUUUGGUCACCAGGAAGUGGCACUGUUUGAAAGGAUUAGAAUGAAUGGGGUGUGGGGAGGAAAUAUGUGGGCUGUGAGGUUUCAAAGGCCCCCACCAGGUCCAAUGUCUUUGCUUGCAGACCAGGCUGCAGCUCUCAGCUCCUUCUCCAGCACCAUACUCGCAUGUCGCCGUGCUCUCUGCCAUGAUGAUAAUCAAACACUUUCUUUUGUAAGAGUUGCCUUGGUCACAACAACAGAGUAGUGACUAAGACAAAGGGAUAGGGUAGAAGAUUACUUAGGUCUCUUUCGGAUCUGAAAGUUGAUGUCUGGAACCAGAUUCUUUAUAAUGAAACCAUUGAUGAUAAUUUGUAAAACAACACCACUAAUCUAUUAAUUUCGUUCUACAGGGCCUACGGUCAUGCUUAUGAUUCAGCCAGGAUGGUCACCUUGACUCUAAUUUCAUAACUGACACAUUCUCUUGCCCAGAGGCCCAGAGAUGCACCUUUCAAUUUUUUGACAAUUUAUUCAGCAUUGUGGUGCACACUCUUUUUCUUCUCACUGUUCUUAGGUAAAAGUGUAUAUACAGGCAAGAGCUGUUUAUCCUCAAUAUUUCAUGCCACGAGUCAGGGUAUAUGGAUUUUUAAACUCUUCACGUAUCUUAAUGGCUUUAUUGGUAUAUUCAUAUGCUUCAAAAUUUAUAAUUAGAGUAUAUAAUCAAACCACUUCAGUACAUUAAAGCAUGUAAGUAACUAUUGCCACAAUCAAAUUUUUUUUUCUUUUUUUCGGAGCUGGGGACAGAACCCAGGACCUUGCUCUACCACUGAGCUAAAUCCCCAACCCUGCCACAAUCAAAUUUAAAACCCCAAAAACACCUCUAAAAGAAACCUGUAUCCUUUAGCAGUCUUUCUCCAUGGCUUACCACAUCCUCUCCCAAGCACAGCCUAAGAUGGUCUUAUUCAGCCCAGCCCGACCUUGGAGGAGCUAGUGGCUUAGGACAACCUCGAACCUUUGGCCUUUCUAUCUCCGCAUCCCAGUCUGGAUCACAGGUAUGUGCAACUGUGCAUGUUUUUAUGUGGGGCUGGGGAUCAAACUGAGGGUUUCUUGUGAGCUAGGCAAGCCCUAGAGCAACUGAACACAUCUUAAAGAAAAAAAAAGUUAAAUUAUGUUACAGAAUCUUACAUCUGCUGACCACAAAAUAUUUCUCUAAGGCUGAUCGUCUUAUUUCCUUGGCUACCCUGCUGCCUAUCAAACCCAGGCCUCGAGCAUGCUAGGCUAGCUAGCACUCUGCUGAGCAAGGUUGGCUUUGGUUUGCUAAGUUGCUUACAGUGCUCUCAUGCUUCUAAAACACUCAGUUACUGUGUCUCCAGAGGCAGUGCUAAGGGAACAAGACAUCCUCCACCUGACUUUAUGUCCUCAAUUUAGGCGAGACACAUGUAAGGUUUAAAACAAAACAAAACACCCAAACAAACAGGGUCUUGCUAUGUAAACCAGCUGUCCUGGAGCUUUCUAUGCAGACCAGGCUGGCCUUAAACUGGUAGAGACGCUCUCAUCUCUGCCUUUAGAAGGCUGGAUUAAAGGUGUGUGCCAUGACACAGAGUGUGCAGUAAGUUUUAAAGUGACACGUAUGCUCUCUUCCCAGUUUCUUCCCUGCAUUCAUCCUUGCUCAAUAGGCCAGCAGCAUUGAGGACCCUCACUUCUCACUCCCUCCUGGUCGACACCUCAGGACAACAACCAGCUUACCUCCACAGAAGGAGAUCCCUGAGACACUGAGGGCUGUGGAUUUUGUUCAGUAAAAACCCCGUUCACCAAGAACAGUGUCUGACUGAAGAAGGCUAGGGGUAAGUAUUUGUUGAGAGAAUGCUGCACACCCUGGCCUCUAAGUUCUCUCCUAGGUCCUUACAUGCCAGAAAAAGUGUGACUAUUCACCAUUAGGCUCUAUAUCAGCCACUAUCUACUUUAAGUCCUCACUUGGUCUUGUCCAAAGAGCUGAGAAGAAAUAUCUGCUAUAAUUCUUAACUAGAAGCAAUUGUUACCAUAUAUGACUUGAUUUUUCUCUAAUAUUCUGCAUUAUCUGUUUGUUAACAUCUUAUAUAUAGUUUGUGUUCUUUCAAUCAAGUGAACACGGUACUAAAACUUAUUUUAUAAACCUCCUGUCUCAGCAUUUGACUUCCAUUACAGGGAGCAUCAGCCAGGGCACCCCUUUAUUCCCUAAUGCCCUGUUCCUCACACUGUGUUUUAAUAAUCCCAGCUUCCUUCCAGGACCCAGAUACAGGGAAUGACUAUAGCCAUAUUUAGCUAAGGACUGGUGUCUAUACUGCUGUUUUCUAAUCUCCUAAUCAAUGAUGCUCAAAAAUGAGUGUCUUGUGCUUAAGAGCUGAGCUUGGGAGACAGAUAGACUUGAAUUCAAACUUUGGGCCCACCUCUUAGUAAGUGGGCGACAUUUAUGGGUUUUAAAAACUCCCCACGGGGCUGGGGAUUUAGCUCAGUGGUAGAGCACUUACCUAGGAAGCGCAAGGCCCUGGGUUCGGUC